GUUUUCUCUAUAUAAACCUGUAGUAUCCUGAUGUACUUGGGAAUAACACCGAGCCACAGUUAGGACGGUGAAUUCCCCAUGAUAUAUCGUGUAAUAAACUAAUCAGUUCGCAAGGUCCGAGUCUGAGAGUUUUCUUCAACAUUUGGCAUAGUCGGUUUGGCCUCUAUUUUACUAGGUGAUUGCUUGCAAUUCCGUGUUGGGGCGAUGGGUUUGUGAGUAUCUACGGGACUGAUUGAAGCACCAGCCCCCGGGACAGGCCAAUCCUGUUCCGCUGUGCAGGCCGGACCCUGAGCUUUUGCCCCCUCGAAGGCUAUCGUAAAGCACCAUGGUGGAAAUGCCCAUACCUCGUCGUCCUGGUGACCCAAAUGGUAGUCAAGGUUGAAGGAGUACCUGCAUGGACACACGCCACCCAUUGCAAAAGAGCGCCUUCGCCCAAACAACAUGACCAGAAAGCCCCUGAACAACAAACACCGGAAACAUCAGCACAUCCACCAGCUGUGCCAUCUGGGCAGUGACUGUCUACCUCUUCUGUGUCCCUCCUAGCUC